CAAGGGCUUCUCCUCACCAGGACAAUGCCUCCAAGCUCCUCCUGGCCCUCAUGGAGAGCAGGCAUGACAGCGAAAAUGCCGAGCGGAUCCUCAUCAGCCUCCGUCCCCAGGAACUGGUGGAUGUGAUUAAGAAGGCCUAUCUGCAGGAGGAGGAGUGUGAAAACUCCGAGGUUUCCCCCCGGGAAGUUGGACACAACAUUUAUAUCCUGGCAUUGCAGCUCUCCCGACACAACAAGUCUCUGCAGCAGCUCCUGAAGC